GGGGAUAUAGCUCAGUUGGUAGAGUGCUUGCCUCACAUGCACAAGGCCCUGGGUUCCAUCCCCAGCACCAUUA
rnacentral:tRNA from 1 species